GCCCGGAAGUGAUGUCAUCGGAACUGUGCAAGGUCCGGUCCAGAGCUGGCUGCUGUUUCGCUAGCGAGCGGCAUGCUUAGUGAAGAAAAGCUUAAAGGCCGUCUUUGCCCAAAACGCUCUCUGUGCGGGCCUGCAUUUCCCCCAGAUUUGCAGGUGAUGAGAGUUCUGUAAAAUUACACAGCUAGUGACUGGUCCAGCGGAGGCCGAAUACAGAUGGAGUCUCACUCUGUUGCCAGGCUGGAGUGCAGUGGUGCCAUCUCAGCUCACUACAACCUCCACCUCCGGGGUUCAAGCGAUUCUCCUGCCUCAGCCUUCCGAGUAGCUGGGACUACAGGUGCCUGCCACCAUUCCCAGUUAAUUUUUGUAUUUUUAGUAGAGAUGACAUUUCACUAUGUUGGCCAGGCUGGUUUUGAACUCCUGACCUCGUGAUCCACCUGCCUCAGCUUCCCAAAGUGCUGGGAUUACAGGCAUGAGCCACCACGCCUGGCCCAAAUCCUAUUUUUCAAUAUUUAUUUCCUAAUUAUGUCCUACUAGGUUAGGUUUUAUUUUCAUUUGUUACAUAUUUAUUGGGUUAUUUCCUUUAUGCUAGGAACUUUAUUAGUUAUUAAGGAUACAGAUGAGGUCCAUUCUCUGUUCUCAAGAAUCUGAGUCUACAGGCAGAAGACAAAAUGCAGUACAGAAUUAUGGAAAUGUGAAUGGAAACUGCAUUCAGAGAGGGGUAUUGCUUGGGAAAAGCCACAUUGGCGUGCCACAGAUGUAUGCCAGCCUGGCAGGCCCAUAGUGUGAUUACUUGAGUUUCAAUAUCUGAUUCUUUUAUAGGCUUGAAAUUGGUUUAUCAGGUCUAGAAGUGACUGGACUCUGGAGUACUGAGUUACCCACCACAAACUGCUAAUAAAAUGCUGUGUAAAACCCAUUAAUACUAAUGUAUUAUUUAUGAGAAACACAAUUAUGGGGAAGCUAGGAUAGUUGAGUUUGCUGGUCAUUAUCUUCCUUGUAUUGACCAAAUUACAAUGAAGGCUAAAUCCAAAUUAUAAUCAUAAGAUUGCUUGGUAAAUACAGAACAGAAACAAUAGAAAUUGUGUGUGGUGCUUUUAAUGGCUAGUAUUUCAAGCCUGAUGCAGCCCUUUCCACUUGAGUCACAUUGUCUUACAUUCUUUGACUUGGCUAGUGCUAAAAAUACAUUGCCAUUUUCCUUUCUCCAUUUUUUUUUUUUUUUUUGAGACGACGUCUGGAUUGCAAUGGCGUGAGGUUGGCUCACUGCAACCUCUGCCUCCCGGGUUCAAGCGAUUCUCCUGCCCCAGCCUCCUGAGUAGCUGGGACUACAGGUGCACGCCACCACGCCCAGCUAAUUUUUGUAUUUCUGGCAGAGACGGGGUUUCACCAUGUUGGCCAGGAUGGUCUCCAUCUCUUGACCUCGUGAUCCACCUGCCUCGGCCUCCCAAAGUGCUAGGAUUACAGGCGUGAGCCACCACGCCCAGCCCAUCCUUUCUCCUCUUAAAUUUUCUUUGCUGACCAGUAUCUCUUGAUGUGGAACGUUCUUUCAUUAGUGGUAAUACUGUCAGGUCUUUGGAAGAUAUUUUGGGUUUUGUUUGCUGAACCAUUAUGCUUAUUUUACAAAUUAACUUUUCUGAACUUUAUCGUGGUAGAAUUUACGUAACAAUUUACCAUUUUGACCAUUUUUAAGUUCAAAGGAACUAAGUACAUUCACAUUGCUAUGCAACUAUGACUACCAUCUAGCUCCAGAACCUUUUCAUCUUCUCAAACUGAAAUUCUGUACCCAUUAAACAAUAAGCUCCCAGCCGGGCACAGUGGCUCUCGCCUGUAAUCCCAGCACUUCGGGAGGCUGAGGUGGGCGGAUUACCUGGAGUCAGGAGUUCGAGACCAGCCUGGCCAACAUGAUGGCCGUCUCUACUAAGAAUACAAAAAUUAGCUGGGUGUGGUGAUGAAUGCCUGUAAUCCCAGCUGCGCGGGAGGCUGAGGCAUGAGAAUCACUUGAACCUGGGAGGCAGACGUUGCAGUGAGCUGGGAUUGCACCACUACACUCCAGCCUAGGCAACAGAGGGAGACUCCCGUCUCAAAAAAAAACAAAACAAAAACAAGAACCAAUAAGCUGCCAUUCCUUCUGCCUUCCAGCCCUUGGCAACCACCAUUCCACUUUAAAUUUAAUUAUUCUAGGAGUUCAUAAAAGUGGGAUAACACAGUAUUUGUCAUUUUGUGACUGACUUAUUUCACAUAUCAUAAUGUCUUCAAGAUUCAUCCAGGAUGUAAUAUAUAUCAGAAGUUUCCUCCUUUUUAAGGCUGAGUAAUAUUCCAUUUUGUGUUUAUGUCACAUUUCUUUUAACCAUUCAUCCCUUGAUGGACACUUGGAUUGCUUCCACCUUCUGGCUAUUGUGAAUAAUGCUGCUGUGAACAUAGAUGUACAAAUUAUCUGUCCAAGUUCCUGCUUUCACUUCUUUUGGGUAUAUACCCGGAAGUGGAAUUGCUGGAUAUAAUUUUAAUUUUUGAGGAAUCUCCAUACUCAGAUGAUCUUAUUUCCUUAUUUUUCAAGUGUGUGGGUCUAUGUGUGGUUUUGGCAGGGAAGGGAGAGGGCGAGUCUCUGUCGUUCCCACGUACUCCCCAUGACUGUUAAGUGCUGUGUUAGAAGCAUAUGGUUUGAUGAGAAUUCUAGGAGAGACAAAUGUUUCAAAGGAUCUCUGUAUUUUCACCGGCAAUAACUAAUAAAUCAUCUGGCUUCUCUGUUCCCCCUGUAAAAAUUAUAAAAUGGAGAAAAUAAUGCAUGUUUUAUCAUCUUGGUAAAAUGGUCAACAUAAAUGCAGAAUAUUUGAAAACUCCGGGGUUUUCAAAAUAAGAUUGUCAAUAAAAAUUUAUAAUUGCUAAUUGGAAAGUCAGAAAAUUUAUACACUGUAAAAUUCCUUUCAUACUUUAUAUCUUAAAACUAUUUUACAAUGU